rnacentral:rRNA from 1 species
UGGCUCAGGAUGAACGCUGGCGGCGUGCCUAAUACAUGCAAGUCGAGCGAACGGACGAGAAGCUUGCUUCUCUGAUGUUAGCGGCGGACGGGUGAGUAACACGUGGAUAACCUACCUAUAAGACUGGGAUAACUUCGGGAAACCGGAGCUAAUACCGGAUAAUAUUUUGAACCGCAUGGUUCAAAAGUGAAAGACGGUCUUGCUGUCACUUAUAGAUGGAUCCGCGCUGCAUUAGCUAGUUGGUAAGGUAACGGCUUACCAAGGCAACGAUGCAUAGCCGACCUGAGAGGGUGAUCGGCCACACUGGAACUGAGACACGGUCCAGACUCCUACGGGAGGCAGCAGUAGGGAAUCUUCCGCAAUGGGCGAAAGCCUGACGGAGCAACGCCGCGUGAGUGAUGAAGGUCUUCGGAUCGUAAAACUCUGUUAUUAGGGAAGAACAUAUGUGUAAGUAACUGUGCACAUCUUGACGGUACCUAAUCAGAAAGCCACGGCUAACUACGUGCCAGCAGCCGCGGUAAUACGUAGGUGGCAAGCGUUAUCCGGAAUUAUUGGGCGUAAAGCGCGCGUAGGCGGUUUUUUAAGUCUGAUGUGAAAGCCCACGGCUCAACCGUGGAGGGUCAUUGGAAACUGGAAAACUUGAGUGCAGAAGAGGAAAGUGGAAUUCCAUGUGUAGCGGUGAAAUGCGCAGAGAUAUGGAGGAACACCAGUGGCGAAGGCGACUUUCUGGUCUGUAACUGACGCUGAUGUGCGAAAGCGUGGGGAUCAAACAGGAUUAGAUACCCUGGUAGUCCACGCCGUAAACGAUGAGUGCUAAGUGUUAGGGGGUUUCCGCCCCUUAGUGCUGCAGCUAACGCAUUAAGCACUCCGCCUGGGGAGUACGACCGCAAGGUUGAAACUCAAAGGAAUUGACGGGGACCCGCACAAGCGGUGGAGCAUGUGGUUUAAUUCGAAGCAACGCGAAGAACCUUACCAAAUCUUGACAUCCUUUGACAACUCUAGAGAUAGAGCCUUCCCCUUCGGGGGACAAAGUGACAGGUGGUGCAUGGUUGUCGUCAGCUCGUGUCGUGAGAUGUUGGGUUAAGUCCCGCAACGAGCGCAACCCUUAAGCUUAGUUGCCAUCAUUAAGUUGGGCACUCUAAGUUGACUGCCGGUGACAAACCGGAGGAAGGUGGGGAUGACGUCAAAUCAUCAUGCCCCUUAUGAUUUGGGCUACACACGUGCUACAAUGGACAAUACAAAGGGCAGCGAAACCG